rnacentral:rRNA from 1 species
UACGGGGGGGGCAAGCGUUGUUCGGAAUUACUGGGCGUAAAGGGCUCGUAGGCGGCCAACUAAGUCAGACGUGAAAUCCCUCGGCUUAACCGGGGAACUGCAUCUGAUACUGGAUGGCUUGAGUUCGGGAGAGGGAUGCGGAAUUCCAGGUGUAGCGGUGAAAUGCGUAGAUAUCCGGAGGAACGACCGGUGGCGAAGGCGGCUUCCUGGACCGACACUGGACGCUGAGGCGCGAAAGCUAGGGGAGCAAACGGG